GGGAGAGCCCGGGGGCCGGUGCGGCGGGCGCCGGGGGGAGCAGCGACCGGCGCCGCGGCAGGAGUGGGAGGAAGAGGAGGGAGAGGAGCGAGGAAGAGGCCCGGGGCGGGCAGCCCCCGGGGUCAGGCCGCGCUGGCCGGCCCAGCCGCUUAAAUGCAACCCCUGGGGCACCGGCUUCUCUCUGAUGAGACCGCUCCAGGGCUGCCGGGGACGGGGCGUCGUCGUGGGGACCGUCACCCUCUGCCUGGCCGCCGGGUGGGCUCUGCAGACUCCUGGAGGAGUAACAUUAGUUGUGCCACAACCCAACAUCAACGCAACGGUGGCACAAAACAUCCUCCUCUCAGUUGAAUACUCUUGCAGAGGCGUUGCCACCAUUGAGUGGAAGCAUGUGUCCAGCUGGGGCACCACCAAAAUCGUUGAGUGGAAAAGUGGGAAUUAUAUCAACAUAUCCACGGUCUACAAGGACAGAGUGACCACUUUUGAAAAUGGCUCAAUACAGCUUCUGAACGUGGGCGUGAGAGAUGCCGGCUACUAUUUUAUCACUGUAACUGAGGAGCAUGGAACCAACACCUACGGCACCAUCAUAGUCAACGUUUAUGAGAUCAUCUAUGAAGAUUUACAUUUUGUAGCAGUUCUCUUUGCAUUUCUCGCCGCAGUAUCUGCCAUUUUGGUCUGCUUCAUGUGGCUGUGUAAUAAAUCUCUGCGUCUAUUUCAGAAAAAGACAACACACAAACUAACAGCAAGUACAACAGAAGAGAUUGAAUUGGACACCAUUGAGUGUUAGCCAAGGACUGCCUCAUAACAAAAAUAACAAUUCUACCUCAGGAAAAAGUAUUGGCAAAGAAAGCGAGAAGAAACCUAAAAGCUUGGCCUGGAAGUCUUGAGAAAUGUCUUCACAGCUCAUGUGCAGCACUUGCACUUCUGCAACACCACAGACGUCCUCUUGCAUCCCUUGUUUCUAUUCAGUAGGGGACAAAUCCUGCAACUCUGAGAUCCUAACAGCUCCGCAUUGACCCUAUUACUUGGUAACAAAAAGCUUGUUUGACAAAAAGGACAUCACUACAUGCAGACCUGUCAACUGAGGUUAAGAACAGUGAAGUGUAAUGACACAUUUAAGUUUCAUCUGCUAAUUAUUACUAAGAGAAGAUCUGUUGUGCUGCCAAGAGUCAAAAGAGCCUCAUAUACAAUCGGAGGCACAAACAGGUGGAUCAGGCUGUUGGCUGAACAAGGAACAAACCCCCCUCUGCUGGCCAAGCAACAGGCGGUGCAUAUAAUUCACCCGUCUUUUAAGAAGAUCAAGAGCCUAUUUUUAACUAGUAUUUCUUCAUUUUCAGAAGUUGUCUUAGGUAACUCAUCAGAACCUGAAAGGAAAACUCUUUCUGUCUCAUAGUUCAGUUGCACAGAAGCAAGUACUUCAAGGAACUGUAAUAACAAGAUGUUCUGCGCUGGCAAACACCAACAGAAGUAAGUACAAUAGCUGCUUUGGAUACACACCGAGGAGCAGCUUGCCACAAGCAGUUGCUUAAUAUAUAUUUCCUACAACUGCUCUUUAUUGCUCAACAAUUCAGCAAAAUAACAACUGUCACCGUACAAUUAUGACGUCCAAUUCAAAUAUGUUCUAUGUCCAAGAAGUUCUUACAGAUACAUACACACACCUCAUAACACAAAACAUGGACAUAAGUCUGAACCAACUCAUACAGCCAGGUUUCAAAAAUUGCUUUAGCAAUUAAUCAUCAAACAAAAGAAAAGCUUUGUGCAACACCUUUCUAGAAGCUUCAAGAAAGCUACAAUGGCAACUGAAAAAAAAAGACAAAAGCAUGACUCUUUUGCUUUAGAAGCAUUCUAAAGAGCUGACCUUCAGGAGGGUAUUAUUUUCUUUCCCUAGAUGAUAAUCAGUAACAGUGCAGGGGGAAAAAAAAACAGUGUGGAGAUCCAAGAUGUACUGCAUAAGUUACCUGCUUCUAUCCAGACAUUAAUUCACACAAGUCACCCACAAACUCAAAUUGUCAGAGUUUUGCAAGCAGAGUAAGACCCUUUCCUCUACAUGUUUGCAAACAACAAGGACAGAAAACACAAAGUAACUGAUACCACAGAGGCUCAUCUAAAGAUGUUUGCCACAAGCUGUGACAUGGUAACACUCUCAAUUUAAACAAAUUGCUAAGUAAAUGUAUCUCUCAAAAAGAAAUGGGUCACCCAGAAGCCAAUGUACAAACUCCAAGUCAAGAAUGUCUUGCAGCGAAGACUGUUCCUUCUGUUUAGCCUUAAUUCUUGACAAGCGAGCUCUGCUUCUCCUCCUUCCCACUUCUCAUUGAAUGAGUCCAUCAGCUCCCCCAAGGAUACCUAUUCCCUGCAGUAUAAGCUGCCACAGGGCUUAUAGAUAGCACAACUCAAUUCUCAUCGUUUUAAUCUUUCAGAAAAACCUGCAAAGAUCCAUUGAGAAAAAGUAGGGGCGUAAGGGGAAAGGGAAUGACUCCGAGCAGACACAUUUCAUGUAGCAAAGGACUACUGAAUUUAAUUUUAUAAAAGAAAAGUACAUUACUUACUCAGCUAUGUUAGUCUACAUAGAACAAUCUGCAAAGAUCCAGCUGAAAGGAACUUUUCCCAAAAGUUGUAAUUUAUAUGUAAUUGAAAAAGUUUUAUUACAAACACUACAAGGGACAUGUAUUUGUACAGGAGAGAAGUUUGGUUUCGCUUUCUUGUACUGCCCCAUAGGUUUCCUUUGCUGCACAGGCAGUGAUCAUUUGCAGCGCAGUGAUGGGUCAAAGGCUGCACGGGGAGGCUGACGGAUUAUUAGCAGGGAGUUAGGGCGGCCAUGAGGAGUUCCAUUUUGUACACAAAGUUACGUCCUUCCAUUUUAUUCCACUGCACUUCCUUGAACGGCCCUCGAAGGUGAUUCCACUUGUUGUCUUGCAGUACAUCACCUUUGGGGAGAUCCUUGCACUGACUCCGUGGAAACUGAACCAUAACUUUGCUGCCGCUUUCCGGACCAUUACGUACUGCCAUGAACAGAGAUGUUUAUGAGCAUUUUUACACUGCAAGAACCCCUCACAUUAAAUAUCCUUCCUUAUGUAUGCUAUAUACAUUACUCCUACUCAAUUCCAAACAUGCUGAAAGCAAACAUGGGAAAUGAUCUUUUUUUUAAAAAAAAGCUUUUUUCUCUUUGAAUUUUCUGUCUCUCAUCUCCCAUUUCUUUAUUAUUUUACUGCCUUAGCACUGCAUGUUCUUGCUUAAAGCAAAUGAGAGAAAUAUUUGACAAAAAAACCCUUUACAAAUGGGGGGGUUUCUCUAGUGAUGCCAAGAAGGUGGCUUUUUUUCUGAUUCUUGCCUUGGAUGUAUUCCCCCCCAGUAUCUUGAAAACCAUGAUCAAAAAGAUAUUGUUUCUAAUGGAUUUCUUUCAAAUGGACAGGAAUAAAACCACUCAGGAUAGCUGUUGCUUUUAAUCACAAAAUUCUGCAAGACUGGUGGAGGUGUGGUGGUGUUCUAUGGGCUUGGGUAGGUUUUUGUGUUUUGAUGCUGGCUGGUGGUGGUCUGUGUUUGUGUUUUUUAAAUAAACAGUUAGUGAGCUAACACGUAGCCUUCCCCUCACCUACCAAGCUAGUGUUCUACAAAGAAAUAACUAUCAAGCUGAAUGAACAUAAUUUCUCCUUCAUAAAUUGAUGCUGACUAUCCCCCGUCACCUUCUUCUCCUUACUAUGUUUGGAAACUGUUUCUGGGACUGGUUUUUGGCCUCAUCUUCCCAGUAAUUGCAAUGAGGCUGACCAGGCUGUAGUUCCCCAGUUUCUCCUUGAAGACAGGUUGUGAUAUCUGCCUUCUUCCAGUCCUCAGGAAUCCUUCCUGAUCACCAUGACCUUUCAAAGGUGAUCAAGAGUGGCCUUACAAUGACAUCAAUCAGCUCCCUCAGCACUCCUGGAUACAUCCCACCCGGUCCUGUGAACCUGUGUAUGUCUAGUCUGUUCAAAGGUUCUCCAACUCCAUCCUCUGCUCCAGAGGGUAAAUCGUCUUUGCACCAAAACUUCCCCUGGGUCUCAGGGACCCGGGAUUCCUGAAGGUCAGUGCUGAGACCAAAGCAAAGGCGGCACCAAGUACCUUGGCCUUCCCCAUGUCUUGUGCUACCAGGUCCUCUCCCCAUUUAAAGGCAGGCCCACAUUUGCCUUAAGUCUUCCUUUUGCUGCUGACAAAUCUAUUGAAGCUCUUCUUGUUGCCUUCUAUAUCCCUGAUAUAUCAACCAGCUCUCUUGGACCCAUCUUCUCUCCAUCCCAUGGAAUGGUAUCCCAUAGGAUUCUUCCAAGAAGGUCCCUGGAGAGACCAAACUCUGUUCUGGUUGAGAGCUGUGAUCCUGUUGUUUGCCUUCCCUUCUCUCAGGAACUCGAUGGUUUCUGUAAUCUGUUUUUUCUACGCUAAUUCUAGUAUUUUAAAGCCUGUGUAAUUUAAAUCAGGUUUAUAUGAAGUGGCUUACUGGGCAAAGUAUUGCUUCUAUUUAGGUGUCAAUUCCAUACACAAAGAGAUUGUUUCUAGAAUAUUUUGCCCAAAAUUGAAAUGAUUCUAUAGAAGUCUAGAGGCUAUCUCAGAAAGAGACUUACAAAGUCUGUAAAAUUUGCUUAAGCAUGUUAAGGUUUUCCACACAUUCACAAUAGAAAACACUACCUGAAAUGGCAUAGUCUCCAUUUGGUGAUGCCACAGUUAUUGCUGAAGCAUUGCCAAUACUCUCCACCGGCCCCAAGCCAACAUGAUUACUGAAACUCAGCACAUGCCAUCCCAUAACCUUCGCAAGCUGCUGAACUGCAUGUACUUGGUGCUGUGACAUCUGAAAAACAACAAGUGAUUCAUCUUCUCUUCAGUAUUUGCACACCACAGAAAAUAAACUGCUUACUGGUUUUA